AGACAAAGCCCAUUUUACUACCAGGUUUCAAGAGCUCAUGUAGAUAAUGAUGUCUUUCUGCAAGAAGCUGUGGCUAGAUACAAAGCAUUUCUCUACUUGAUCAAAGGUAACCGAGAAAGGUCGAUUAAACUUUUCUGUGUUCCGACUUACGAUAUUGAUCUUAUCUGGCACACACAUCAGCUUCAUGCUCACUCUUACUGCAAUGAUUUGACUAAGAUGAUUGGUAAGGUCUUGGAUUACAUUCUGGGAAACAUUACAUCUUUGCCUCCAAGAACUUUUGCAGCUAAAGGAUCUUAUCCAGACGUUUGAAAAAAAAGGAAUAGCAAAACUAAUUGAAGCUGGACAGUUUUUAUUUAGCAGAUGCCCUUGGCUGCUGUAGUGAUUAUGGCCCGCAGUCGUACAGACUAUCUUGAAAGGACAGUUAAAUCAGU